GGUAUAUAUAGUUACAGGGAUAUCUAAGGCAGAUCUUACUGUAGGUAUAUAAAGUUACAGGGAUAUCUAAGGCAGACCUUACUGUAGGUAUAUAUAGUUACAGGGAUAUCUAAGGCAGAUCUUACUGUAGGUAUAUAAAGUUACAGGGAUAUCGAAGGCAGAUCUUACUGUAGGUAUAUACAGUUACAGGGAUAUCGAAGGCAGAUCUUACUGUAGGUAUAUAUAGUUACAGGGAUAUCUAAGGCAGAUCUUACUGUAGGUAUAUACAGUUACAGGGAUAUCUAAGCCAGAUCUUACUGUAGGUAGAUACAGUUACAGGGAUAUCUAAGCCAGAUCUUACUGUAGGUAGAUACAGUUACAGGGAUAUCUAAGGCAGAUCUUACUGUAGGUAUAUAUAGUUACAGGGAUAUCUAAGACAGAUCUUACUGUAGGUAUAUAUAGUUACAGGGAUAUCUAAGGCAGAUCUUACUGUAGGUAAAUAUAGUUACAGGGAUAUCUAAGUCAGAUCUUACUGUAGGUAUAUAUAGUUACAGGGAUAUCUAAGGCAGAUCUUACUGUAGGUAUAUAUAGUUACAGGGAUAUCUAAGGCAGAUCUUACUGUAGGUAAAUAUAUAGUUACAGGGAUAUCGAAGGCAGAUCUUACUGUAGGUAUAUACAGUUACAGGGAUAUCUAAGGCAGAUCUUACUGUAGGUAUAUACAGUUACAGGGAUAUCUAAGGCAGAUCUUACUGUAGGUAUAUACAGUUACAGGGAUAUCUAAGGCAGAUCUUACUGUAGGUAUAUAUAGUUACAGGGAUAUCUAAGGCAGAUCUUACUGUAGGUAUAUACAGUUACAGGGAUAUCUAAGGCAGAUCUUACUGUAGGUAUAUACAGUUACAGGGAUAUCGAAGGCAGAUCUUACUGUAUGUAUAUACAGUUACAGGGAUAUCUCGGGCAGAUCUUACUGUAGGUAUAUAAAGUUACAGGGAUAUCUAAGGCAGAUCUUACUGUAGGUAUAUAUAGUUACAGGGAUAUCUAAGGCAGAUCUUACUGUAGGUAUAUAUAGUUACAGGGAUAUUCAAGCCAGAUCUUACUGUAGGUAUAUACAGUUACAGGGAUAUCUUAGGCCAGAUCUUACUGUAGGUAUAUACAGUUACAGGGAUAUCUAAGUCAGAUCUUACUGUAGGUAUAUACAGGUACAGUUAUAUCUAAGCCAGAUCUUACUGUAGUAAUAUAUAUAUAUAUAUAGUUACAGGGAUAUCUAAGGCAGAUCUUACUGUAGGUAUAUACAGUUACAGGGAUAUCUAAGUCAGAUCUUACUGUAGGUAUAUAUACAGUUACAGGGAUAUCUAAGUCAGAUCUUACUGUAGGUAUAUACAGUUACAGGGAUAUCUAAGUCAGAUCUUACUGUAGGUAUAUAUAGUUACAGGGAUAUCUAAGACAGAUCUUACAGUAGGUAUAUAUACAGUUACAGGGAUAUCUAAGCCAGAUCUUACUGUAGGUAUAUAUACAGUUACAGGGAUAUCUAAGGCAGAUCUUACUGUAGGUAUAUACAGUUACAGGGAUAUCUAAGGCAGAUCUUACUGUAGGUAUAUACAGUUACAGGGAUAUCUAAGGCAGAUCUUACUGUAGGUAUAUACAGUUACAGGGAUAUAUAAGGCAGAUCUUACUGUAGGUAAAUACAGUUACAGGGAUAUCUAAGGCAGAUCUUACUGUAGGUAUAUACAGUUACAGGGAUAUUAAGGCAGAUCUUACUGUAGGUAUAUACAGUUACAGGGAUAUCGAAGGCAGAUCUUACUGUAGGUAUAUAUAGUUACAGGGAUAUCUAAGGCAGAUCUUACUGUAGGUAUAUAUAUACAGUUACAGGGAUAUAUAAGGCAGAUCUUACUGUAGGUAUAUACAGUUACAGGGAUAUCGAAGGCAGAUCUUACUGUAGGUAUAUACAGUUACAGGGAUAUCGAAGGCAGAUCUUACUGUAGGUAUAUAUAGUUACAGGGAUAUCUAAGGCAGAUCUUACUGUAGGUAUAUACAGUUACAGGUAUAUUUAAGGCAGAUCUUACUGUAGGUAUAUAUAGUUACAGGGAUAUCUAAGUCAGAUCUAACUAUAGGUUUAUACAGUUACAGUGAUCUGUAAGGCAGAUCUUACUGUAGGUAUAUAUAGUUACAAGUACUGAAGCCAGAUCUUACUGUAGUUACUGUAUAUAAAUGUAAUUAGGCUGUCAGGGAUCUGUGUAUCUUGUCUACUUUACACUGAAGGGAUUUUAGAUCCAAUUUAGGUCAGAUUUGACCGGAUUUACAAAGAUAUAGUGAUCAGUAGACACCCAGACAGGUUUGUCAGUAUCAGGAAGGGGGUUUCUGUACCAGAUUUUAAUAGUAAAGUUUGAUUUUGGAGAGUUAAAAUGACCAAUAUUAUACUGAUAAAUUCAUAAUUCAUUGAUUCACAUGUUUCAUGUGUGAUUACAAUAAUAGCUUGUGAAGAUGAGAAUACUAAAGUUUUAUUUUUGUUUCUCUCUCCCAUAUUUGGAAAAGUUUAUGUUCUAAAGUUUUGUGUUCACAUGUGUUUAGUAUUGGCGUGUGUUGAGAGAACGAUAUGACUGACGAUUGGAUUGUACAUGUAUACAGAGUGAAUGCCAAUUCUGUAUAUAUCAUACAUCACCCAAAAUGUAUACGGAUAAAAUAAAGUGUGAAAUCUGUGAUACCACAAA